AGGUUUCUAGUGACAAGGUCAGA
rnacentral:piRNA from 1 species